GCUUUGGGCCCCACCCCAAUCCCCUUUUAGAUCAAGACCCCCACGGUUACACCACCAUGAAAUUUCAGAUGUAAACAUCUGAAAUCGUUAAACUGACCAAUUUUAAGACCCUGUGGACGUGAAAUUGACCAAAGUGAACCAUGAAUUUGGUAGGGCCCUAAUCAUAAUCUGUACCUCCUUGUCUAAGCUAG